rnacentral:rRNA from 1 species
AUUGAACGCUGGCGGCAGGCCUAACACAUGCAAGUCGAGCGGUAACACAGGGAGCUUGCUCCUGGGUGACGAGCGGCGGACGGGUGAGUAAUGUCUGGGAAACUGCCUGAUGGAGGGGGAUAACUACUGGAAACGGUAGCUAAUACCGCAUAACGUCGCAAGACCAAAGAGGGGGACCUUCGGGCCUCUUGCCAUCAGAUGUGCCCAGAUGGGAUUAGCUAGUAGGUGGGGUAACGGCUCACCUAGGCGACAAUCCCUAGCUGGUCUGAGAGGAUGACCAGCCACACUGGAACUGAGACACGGUCCAGACUCCUACGGGAGGCAGCAGUGGGGAAUAUUGCACAAUGGGCGCAAGCCUGAUGCAGCCAUGCCGCGUGUAUGAAGAAGGCCUUCGGGUUGUAAAGUACUUUCAGCGGGGAGGAAGGUGUUGAGGUUAAUAACCUCAGCGAUUGACGUUACCCGCAGAAGAAGCACCGGCUAACUCCGUGCCAGCCGCCGCGGUAA